UUUGCGGGUCGAAGCGGAGAAUUUAAGCCCCAGUAAACGGCGGUGGUAACUAUAACCAUCCUAAGGUAGCGAAAUUCCUUGUCGGGUAAGUUCCGACCUGCACGAAUGGCGUAACGACUUCCCUGCUGUCUCAACCACAGACCCGGCGAAAUUGCAGUACGAGUAAAGAUGCUCGUUACGCGCGGCAGGACGAAAAGACCCCGGGACCUUCACUAUAGCUUGGUAUUGGUGUUCGGUUCGGUUUGUGUAGGAUAGGUGGGAGACUGUGAUGCCUCAACGCCAGUUGGGGUGGAGUCGUUGUUGAAAUACCACUCUGAUCGUAUUGGACAUCUCAACCUCGGCCCGUGAUCCGGGUUAGGGACAGUGCCUGGUGGGUAGUUUAACUGGGGCGGUUGCCUCCCAAAGAGUAACGGAGGCGCCCAAAGGUUCCCUCAGCCUGGUUGGCAAUCAGGUGUUGAGUGUAAGUGCACAAGGGAGCUUGACUGUGAGACUGACAGGUCGAGCAGGUAGGAAACUAGGGACUAGUGAUCCGGCACCGGCUUGUGGAAGCGGUGUCGCUCAACGGAUAAAAGGUACCCCGGGGAUAACAGGCUGAUCUUCCCCAAGAGUCCAUAUCGACGGGAUGGUUUGGCACCUCGAUGUCGGCUCGUCGCAUCCUGGGGCUGGAGUAGGUCCCAAGGGUUGGGCUGUUCGCCCAUUAAAGCGGCACGCGAGCUGGGUUUAGAACGUCGUGAGACAGUUCGGUCUCUAUCCGCCGCGCGCGUAGAAACUUGAGGAAGGCUGUCCCUAGUACGAGAGGACCGGGAUGGACGUACCUCUGGUGUGCCAGUUGUCCCGCCUGGGGCAUGGCUGGUUGGCUACGUACGGAAGGGAUAACCGCUGAAAGCAUCUAAGCGGGAAGCCUGUUCCAAGAUUAGGUUUCUUUUGAGGUCCGCUAUAGAUGAUGGGGUUGAUAGGCCGGAUCUGGAAGCAUCGUAAGGUGUGGAGGUGACCGGUACUAAUAGACCAAACAUUCAACACACAAAGU
rnacentral:rRNA from 1 species